AGGGAAAUAGCUCAAUGGUAGAGCAUGUGCUUAGCAUACAAGAGGUCCUGGGUUCAAUCCCCAGUACCUCCA
rnacentral:tRNA from 1 species